UACGUAGGGUGCGAGCGUUUGUCCGGAAUUAUUGGGCGUAAAGAGCUCGUAGGCGGCCUGUUGCGUCGGUUGUGAAAGCCCGGGGCUUAACCCCGGGUCUGCAGUCGAUACGGGCAGGCUAGAGUUCGGUAGGGGAGAUCGGAAUUCCUGGUGUAGCGGUGAAAUGACGCAGAUAUCAGGAGGAACACCGGUGGCGAAGGCGGGUCUCUGGGCA
rnacentral:rRNA from 1 species